UACAGAGGUUCCAAGCGUUGUUCGGAUUCACUGGGCGUAAAGGGCGCGUAGGCGGCCUCCGCAAGUCAGUUGUGAAAUCUCCGAGCUUAACCCGGAAAGGUCAACUGAUACUGCGGGGCUAGAGUGCGGAAGGGGCAACUGGAAUUCUUGGUGUAGCGGUGAAAUGCGUAGAUAUCGAGAGGAACACCUGCGGCGAAGGCGGGUUGCUGGGCCGACACUGACGCUGAGGCGCGAAAGCUAGGGGAGCGAACGGG
rnacentral:rRNA from 1 species